rnacentral:rRNA from 1 species
GAUGAACGCUGGCGGCGUGCCUAAUACAUGCAAGUCGAGCGAACAGACGAGGAGCUUGCUCCUCUGACGUUAGCGGCGGACGGGUGAGUAACACGUGGAUAACCUACCUAUAAGACUGGGAUAACUUCGGGAAACCGGAGCUAAUACCGGAUAAUAUAUUGAACCGCAUGGUUCAAUAGUGAAAGACGGUUUUGCUGUCAUUUAUAGAUGGAUCCGCGCCGCAUUAGCUAGUUGGUAAGGUAACGGCUUACCAAGGCAACGAUGCGUAGCCGACCUGAGAGGGUGAUCGGCCACACUGGAACUGAGACACGGUCCAGACUCCUACGGGAGGCAGCAGUAGGGAAUCUUCCGCAAUGGGCGAAAGCCUGACGGAGCAACGCCGCGUGAGUGAUGAAGUUCUUCGGAUCGUAAAACUCUGUUAUUAGGGAAGAACAAAUGUGUAAGUAACUAUGCACGUCUUGACGGUACCUAAUCAGAAAGCCACGGCUAACUACGUG